rnacentral:tRNA from 1 species
UGGAGUAUAGCCAAGUGGUAAGGCAUCGGUUUUUGGUACCGACAUUCCUAGGUUCGAAUCCUAGUACUCCAGCCA